rnacentral:rRNA from 1 species
GACGAACGCUGGCGGCGUGCUUAACACAUGCAAGUCGAACGAUGAAGCCGCUUCGGUGGUGGAUUAGUGGCGAACGGGUGAGUAACACGUGGGUAAUCUGCCCUGCACUCUGGGAUAAGCCUUGGAAACGAGGUCUAAUACCGGAUAUGACACACGAAGGCAUCUUCUGUGUGUGGAAAGUUCCGGCGGUGCAGGAUGAGCCCGCGGCCUAUCAGCUUGUUGGUGGGGUAGUGGCCUACCAAGGCGACGACGGGUAGCCGGCCUGAGAGGGUGACCGGCCACACUGGGACUGAGACACGGCCCAGACUCCUACGGGAGGCAGCAGUGGGGAAUCUUGCGCAAUGGGCGAAAGCCUGACGCAGCAACGCCGCGUGGGGGAUGACGGCCUUCGGGUUGUAAACCUCUUUCGACAGGGACGAAGCUUUCGGGUGACGGUACCUGUAGAAGAAGCACCGGCUAACUACGUGCCAGCAGCCGCCGUAACAC